rnacentral:ncRNA from 1 species
GGUUUGGUCCCAGCCUUGAAAUCAGUUCUUACUUAACUUACACAUGCAAGUCUCCGCACACCCGUGAAAACGCCCUUCUACCCACAUAGGAACAAGGAGCCGAUAUCAGGCAUAAAUUACCCAUGACAUCUAGCCACGCCACACCCACAAGGGCCCUCAGCAGUGAUUAACAUUAAAAAUAAACGUAAGUUUGACUUAGUCAAUGAAAAUAGAGCCGGCCAAUCUGGUGCCAGCCGCCGCGGUUACACCACAUGACUCAAAUUGAUUUUAACACGGCGUAAAGCGUGAUUAAAGAAAACAAACUUCUGGGGUCAAACUUAGACUUAACUGUAAUAAGCAUGUCUUCUGGAAGCCCAAUCUCGAAAGACACCCCACCCACCAACUUGAACUCACAACAACUUUAACACAAACUGGGAUUAGAUACCCCACUAUGUUUAGUCGUAAACUUUAACCUACCCCCCCCGUCGCCAGGGAACUACGAGCAAAGCUUAAAACCCAAAGGACUUGACGGUACUCCAUAUCCCCCUAGAGGAGCCUGUCCUACAACCGAUAACCCCCGUUAAACCUCACCAUUUUUAGCCUUUCAGCCUGUAUACUUCCGUCGUCAACUUACCGCCUGAGCGAACAAGUAAGUUAAAUGUUCUUUCCCACCCAUACGUCAGGUCAAGGUGCAGCAAAUAAAAUGGCAAGAGAUGGGCUACACUUUCUAACAUAGAAAAUACGAAAAACUAUAUGAAACCAUACUUAGAAGGCGGAUUUAGCAGUAAGAAGAGAAUAGAGAGCCCUUCUUAACAAGGCACUGGAGUGUGUACAAACCGCCCGUCACCCUCUUCAACAAACUUUAUGAUAGUAUUUAACACCCUACCACCAAAUAGAGGAGGC